CCGGAUGUGACGCAAUCUCCGCCUCGCCCUCCCACCGCCAGGCAAGCGGGAAGAUGGGCCACAGGAGGGAGCCCCGAGGCGAGGAGUAAGGGGCGGUGCCUCCCAGUCGCCCUAGGCGACACUCGCGGUCUUUUCCCUGGGCUAGUAAAGCGGGGCGGGGUUUGGAAAAAGAAAAGCUACCAUGGUAACCCGAAGGCGCAUGGUCUAGCUUCACUGGCCAGGCAGGCUGCCCACAAUGGGUGGCCAACUGCUGUACGGCCCAUACCCCCCGCCAAUGCUGACCCAGCACCACCUAACCGCUAGGUCACCCUGUAGGUCUAUACUCUAAAUAUGCUCCAAGCCUCUGCUUCCACUCAUUCCACGCUGGCUACAAAACCAGGUGUUAAAAAAAAGCUUAGACUUUUGGGGCCUCGACUUCAAAAGAGCCUCAACUCAGCAACCUCCUUUUAAACCCAGCUCAGGAAGGAAUCCUCUGUGAUGGACCACUGGAGCCAGAUCUUUUGUGCAACAGCAAAACAUGAGUGCCUGGAAAACUGUACUGGGAGACUGAGCCUCCAUUCUGUGCUAUAACCUUCACCAAUUUCACCACAACUUCUGCUUCCAGGCAUCCUCCUUAAAGUCACCCUUGGAUGUCCAGAAGAGAAGAGUGACCUGUCUUACUGGCAGGCUCCAGCCUGGGCUCCAAAGAAGAUUUGUGGUCUCCUCUGCCUGGCUAAUUGAAACUAAGACUUUGGAAGAUCAAAGGUUGCUUUUCCAUCACUCUAUCAUGUUCUCUUGGAUCUGGACUUAAGCUGUGACAUAAAGAAAGUCAGCUAAGAGGCAACACCAUCGGAGGAGAAGCCAAUUUUUCUCCAGGAGUGAAGCCCCAUGUUCAGCAAAUAUUUGCUGAGAACAUACCAUGAACCAGGAACUCUGCCAGGCACUUGGGAUACAAAGAUGGUGACAUGACAGCAACCGAAGACCCCAGAGUCUCACAAGAUGAGGGCAAGACUGAACUUUGGAACUAUGUGAUGUUCCAUCCUCAGUUGAAUGCAAAGAAUCUCAACAAAAAAAGAGUUUAGGCAUUUAGAAUUAAAGAAUUCAUGCUCUGGUGUAAAAGUGAAAACCUUAGAGGAAAACACAAUGGGAUAAGUAACGGCAGAAACUAAAAGCUUGGGAAUCCCAAUGGGCAUAGGCACAGAAAAUAAUGGAUGAGACUUAAGGUCACUCUUGC